UCUCUCUUCCCAUUUUCCUUUCAGCCAGCAUGGGGAAAACCCUCAUCAUGGCACAGCUGCAUGUUGGCAAAAGGCCCCAGUCGAGAACUCUGCCUCCAGGCCCCUGCUCCAAGCAGACACGCCCCGCUCAUGGCCUCCAGUUACACAGGAUGUACCCAUCAGAAGCAUGUAAACAUUUAUAUCAUUAAGGCAACAUGCAAACAUGUCUUCAGCAGUUACUUGUGUACCUAUAACACACCCCUACCAGUUAAGAAUGCGCUCUUACAACCAAGGCAGAAUUAUGAAAGAUCAUCCUCAGACUUCAAAUCUCCUCCCCAUUCCCUCUAGGAGUCUGCUAUAGCCAAUGUGUUCCCUGGCUUGUAAUUUGUGCACAGUCACAGUAAACCGGGGCUAAAUCUAGGCUUCUGCCUUGACUGGAUACUUCAGAGUUGAACGUGGAGCAUGGGGCUCUUAGUUCUCAGUCUGUGUUCUCUUUCAUAUCAUAUCUCUUCUCUCCUAUCAAGCUGGCAUUUAGCCAACUUUCAUCACUUUUUCAACAUCUUACCCCGUAUUUGUUUGAGUACUGCCGAUAGAGUCCACCACUGCCUGAAAUAGCUAAUUCCACCAUAAGAAUAUUGUUCGUGAUUUGGACCUUAAAUUAGAUUCCCUGUGACUCCCACUCAUGUGUCCUAGUUUGUCCUUUGGUCCUUUAUGUAGUGCCACCCACACCGUGACACCCCUUACGUAUUUGAAGGCAACCACAAUGUUCCUGUCAUGCCACCCUCCAGUCUUCCAUUACUGGGCUCAGCUUUCCUAUUCUAUUCUCCCUUUCAUUCUUCACACCAUGUUUCCCCUCCUUUGGGUAUUUCUCAUUGUCCUCUGGAAAAGAUUGUGCCCCAAAUAGAACACGAUUCCCUAGGUGUUCUCUGAUCAGUGUAGAGUGUAAGGAGCUGUUAUUCACCAUGAACAGGAUACCACCUUUCCAUCAAGCAUAGCGACUCAUCAGUUUUCACUUAUUGCUUUGUUAAGGGGUGAUGAAUUUGUUCAAUCCUUUCCCUGGUUUCCUAGCAGAAGGCAGGCAGAGGAGCAAUGGGCUUGAUUUCAAGAAUCUCUUUCCUGCUAGAACACUGAAGAGCUUGUCAAUAUCUUUUCUAGGUGCAUUUUGUCAAACCGAUAUUCCAAUAGACAGCCAUUAGCACCUCACCCUAUGCUUCAGAAUCACAUUUGGGGGAAUUUACUUUGACUGAUCAUAGCUUGAAGGGAUCAUUUGGUUCUAUGAAUCCAAUCUUACGUUUCAAAAGCCAUUUCCUAUCAGUGAUGAUGUGUAUACCCCUUGCUUACACGGAUUUGCAAUGAGCAAGAUAGAAAUACAUCCUUUAAUUUUCUUUCUUGUCUAAAGGAAAGAACAAUCUCUCUCCCUACCUCUCCCUCACCCCAGUAAGAACCAGUCACUGAAGAUAAAGGAUAUCAUACCUCCUAAAAAAUCUGAUGAAAGCAAAAUGACCCUAUUGACAUAUUGAGAUGGCAAAUCACACAGUGCAUUUCUAGGCCCCAGUAAUAUGGAUGUUUUUCUUCCCAGGAAUGUAUCUGAUUGGGGAAGUUUAUUGUCCUAUAGAGUGUAAUGUGGCGAUCACUCAGAUAGAACCAUCAAAGGCAAGAGUAACUCUGAUUCUUAUAAUAAGCUGUGGUUAUAUUUUUAUCAGGGCACCAAAGAAAGAUUAAAUAUCUAAGCAGAGGGGAUUCAAGGGUAUUAUUCUCUUCUAUGGGAAGAGCAGCAAUAUAAAGGGAAAAUAUGGUUUAAUAGGCCAAAGGAAAAAAAAUCCAAUUGGUGACAAGAACAAUAGAUUUUACAGGAAAAUAUGUGAUAAGAAAGAAACAUUGCAUUGUUUGGGACACCUGUAGUUAAUUAUUGCAGCUAAAGACAUUAAAAUCAGUUUCUUUGCUCAUAUAUCUUCAUAGACUGUUUGGCAAUAUUAAAUGACAAAAGCUUAAUAAUCAAAAGUACUGAGUUAGCAAAUGUUUUCUAAUUUUAAUAACUUCUUGUUGUAAUUACCAAGUCUUAGAGUGAAAUGAUUUAAUUAGAAAGUAAUCAAGAAGUGUCUACUGUUAAUUGAAGGAAUUAUAAAAGAUCUACAUUUUUAAUAUAUUUCUAGGGUAAUAAAAUUAGAAUUUACCAUAAUUAUUUUUAAACC
rnacentral:lncRNA from 1 species